rnacentral:rRNA from 1 species
UAAUUUAUUUAUUAUUUAAUGUUUUAUUUAUUUAUUUUUAAUAAAAAUAAUUUAGUUUUUAGUAAUUUUUAAUGAAUUAAUUAAAUUAAUUAUAGUUUACAGUACUGUAUAGGAAGUAAAGAAAUUAAUUAUAAGUAGUUUUUAUUUAUACUUACCUUUUGUAUCAGGGUUAAUUAAUUAAAUUAUAGGAAUAUUAUAUUUCCCGAAAUUAGGUGACCUAAAAUUUAAUGUAAGUGAGUGUUACAAAAUUCUUUGAGAUUAAAUUUUAGUAGUGAUAUGCUAUCCAUACCUAAAUAUCUGGUUUUUUAAGAGAUGAAUUUAAUUCAGACAAGCUUAAAUUUUUCCAAUUUUAAUUGGUUAUUUGUUUGUUAAUAUAUAUGGGGAUUAGCUCAUGUAUAUAUUUAUAAUUCAUGGAUAAACUAAAAUAAUCUUAGGCUUAGAAUCAGCCAUAUUUAUAUCGUUACAGAUAAUUUUUUAUUUAUGUUUUAUUUUUUAAGAUUUAAUUUUAUAUUAAAAAAACUUGAUUAUUAAUUUAUCAGGUGUUAUAAUGAUUAAAUUAGUAUAAUUGAUAAAUAUAUUAUUGGAACUCGGCAAAUUUGAUUUCCGCCUGUUUAACAAAAACAUGUCUUUUAGAUUUUAUUAAAAGUCUGACCUGCCCAAUGAAUUUUUUUAAUGGCCGCGGUAUUUUGACCGUGCAAAGGUAGCAUAAUCAUUUGUCUCUUAAUUAGAGGCUGGAAUGAAUGGUUGGACGAGAAAUCAGCUUUCUUUAAUAUAUAUUUAAAACUUAAUUUUUAAGUCAAAAAGCUUAAAUUUUAUUAAGGGACGAGAAGACCCUAUAGAACUUUAUUAAUUUAUUGGACCACAUAAUUUUUUUAUUUACUUUUGUGGUCCACAUCUUUUAAUUGUGUUGGGGUGACAUAGAAAUUUAAUUAACUUUCUUUUUUUAUAUUCAUUGAUUAGUGUAUUUUUAGAUCCAGGUUUAUCUUGAUUAUAAGUUUAAGUUACCUUAGGGAUAACAGCGUAAUUCUUUUGGAGAGUUCUAAUCGAUGAAAGAGUUUGCGACCUCGAUGUUGGAUUAAAAUUAGUAUUGGGAGUAGAAGAUCAAUUACUAGGUCUGUUCGACCUUUAAAUUUUUACAUGAUCUGAGUUCAAACCGGCGUGAGCCAGGUUGGUUUCUAUCUUUAAUUGUUUUUAAUAUCUUAGUACGAAAGGACCGGGUAUUACUAUAAUAUUGUUUGUUUUUGAAUUAAAUU